CCUUACUAGGACAGGACAGGGCUUUCCUGUACCAUAGGCAGUGAAAAUAAACAAAUUUCUUAUAUGGAAUUUCAUAGGAAAAACACAGUAUUUAGGAAAGGCUCCUGCAUUCCAAACAGGCAACAACUCAUCUGCUGUGUUCACCGCUGUUUCCCCUGUGGGUUUCAGCUUGAUAUUGCUCGUAAAGAGGUCUCGCUCUACUCAUGGCAUGACAGCCAGGGUUGACAAUGGCAUAGCAGAACCGCACGAGGUCU
rnacentral:lncRNA from 7 species